rnacentral:rRNA from 1 species
UACGGGGGGGGCAAGCGUUGUUCGGAAUUACUGGGCGUAAAGGGUUUGUAGGUGGCCCGCUAAGUCACACGUGAAAUCCCUCAGCUUAACUGGGGAACUGCGUGUGAGACUGGCAGGCUCGAGGGGCAGGAGAGGAACGCGGAAUUCCAGGUGUAGCGGUGAAAUGCGUAGAUAUCUGGAGGAACACCGGUGGCGAAGGCGGCGUUCUGGACUGUCUCUGACACUGAAGAAUGAAAGCCAGGGGAGCAACGGG